rnacentral:rRNA from 1 species
UACGAAGGGGGCUAGCGCUGCUCGGAAUCACUGGGCGUAAAGGGUGCGUAGGCGGGUCUUUAAGUCAGGGGGGAAAUCCUGGAGCUCAACUCCAGAACUGCCUUUGAUACUGAGGAUCUUGAGUUCGGGAGAGGUGAGUGGAACUGCGAGUGUAGAGGUGAAAUUCGUAGAUAUUCGCAAGAACACCAGUGGCGAAGGCGGCUCACUGGCCCGAUACUGACGCUGAUGCACGAAAGCGUGGGGAGCAAACAGG